AUUGAACGCUGGCGGCAGGCCUAACACAUGCAAGUCGAACGAGUGGCGGACGGGUGAGUAAUGUCUGGGAAACUGCCCGAUGGCGGGGGAUAACUACUGGAAACGGUAGCUAAUACCGCAUACCAUCGGAUGUGCCCAGAUGGGAUUAGCUAGUAGGUGGGGUAACGGCUCACCUAGGCGACGAUCCCUAGCUGGUCUGAGAGGAUAACCAGCCACACUGGAACUGGGACACGGUCCAGACUCCUACGGGAGGCAGGAGUGGGGAAUAUUGCAAAAGGGGCGAAAGCCUGUUGCAGCCAUGCAGCGGGUAUGAAGAAGGCCUUCGGGUUGUAAAGUACUUUAGGCGGGGAGGCGUUAGUAGCAGAAGAAGCACCGUCGAACUCCGUGCCAGCAGCCGCGGUAAUAC
rnacentral:rRNA from 1 species